GCAUGACAAGAUUGGGAAAGAAAGGUCCAACACAACCACACAGAAUGUCCCAUGGUCGGAUCCAUUUGACAGACUGUAUUAUAGUGAAAUCAUGCUGAAAGGACACAACUAGAGUAUGACAGAUAGCCCAUGUGUUGUGUGGACACCAGAAGCAUGAUUCGACCUCACACCAGUCAGAAUGGCUAAGAUCAAAAACUCCAGCAACAGCAGAUGCUGGCGAGGAUGUGGAGAAAGAGGAACACUCCUCCAUUGUUGGUGGGAUUGCGGACCGGUACUACCAUUCUGGAAAUCAGUCUGGAGGUUCCUCAGAAAAUUGGACAUUGCACUACCUGAAGACCCAGCUAUACCUCUCUUGGGCAUAUACCCAAAAGAUGCUCCAACAUAUAACAAAGAUUAAUGCUCCACUGUGUUCAUAGCAGCCUUAUUUAUAAUAGCCAGAAGCUGGAAAGAACCCAGAUGUCCUUCAAUAGAGGAAUGGAUACAGAAAAUGUGGUACAUCUACACAAUGAAAUACUAUUCAGCUAUCAAAAACAAUGACUUCGUGAAAUUCAUAGGCAAAUGGAUGGAACUGGAAAAUAUCAUCCUGAAUUAGGUAAUCCAAUCACAGAAAAAUACACAUGGCAUGCACUCACUGAUAAGUGAAUAUUAGCCCAAAUGUUCAAGUUACCCUAGAUGCACAGAACACAUGAAACUCAAGAAGGAUGACCAAAAUGUGGAUGCUUCACUCCUUCUUUGAAAGGGGAACAAGAAUACCCUUGGGAGGGGAUAGGGAGGCAAAGAUUAAAACAGAGACAGAAGGAACACCCAUUCAGAGCCUGCCCCACAUGUGGCCCAUACAUAUACAGCCACCAAACUAGAUAAGAUGGAUGAAACAAAGAAGUGCAGGCUGGCAGGAACUGGAUGUAGAUCUCUCCUGAGAGACACAGCCAGAAUACAGAAAAUACAUAGGCGAAUGCCAGCAGCAAACCACUGAACUGAGAACAGGACCCCCAUUGAAGGAAUCAGAGAAAGAACUAGAAGAGGUUGAAGGGGCUCGAGACCCCAUAUGAACAACAAUGCCAAGCAACCAGAGCUUCCAGGGACUAAGCCACUACCUAAAGACUAUACAUUGACUGACCCAUAGGUAACAAUGAAUAGCCUAGUAAGAGCACCAGUGGAAGGGGAAGCCCUUGGUCCUGCAAAGGCUGGACCCCCAGUGAACGGGAUUCUUGUGGGGUAAUGGAGGGAGGAUUGGGAGGGGAACACCCAUAGAGAAUGGGAGGGGGACUGGUUAGGGUGAUGUUGGUAUGGAAACCGGGAAAGGGAAUAACAUUUUAAAUAUAAAUAAGAAAUGCCCAAUUUAAUGAAGAUGGAAAAAAAUAAAUAAAAAAUUCAAACAUGUUUCAAUCAAUGUUUAAUAAAACUAUUAUAAACUUAUUUCACCAAAACUAUAUGAUUUCGGUAUAUGUAUAUUCUGCAAUGUACAUUCACACCCCAGUAAGCUAAUUAAGUAACAAUAAAAAUAAAGAACAUCAUCUUAUUUAAAAAUUAUUUUAUAGCUGAGGAAACUAAGACCAAUUAGCUGUGUACAGUAAAAUUAGUUCAAGGAAAUUGCAAACUAAAUAAUUCCAACUGCUACUCAGUCUGGGUUUCUUCCUUUACACUUCAACAUCUUUCAAAUAAAUCUUGAAUUCUUGAGGGCUGCUUAAUGUAUCUUUUAGCUAGCUUUAUAUUAAUUUAACAUUAAAUGCUAAUUAGAAAGAAAUAAUGAAAGGCUAUAUUAUCAAGAAUAGGACAUAAAUGUGAUUGAACUGGUCCAUUUGUUAGAAAUGAAAAUAUGAUUCAUGAUGUGGAAAGCUUCAUAUUUUAUUUAAAACUAGUUUUUUAAUAACUUCAAUUAAUAGUUUGACUGCUAGACUGGCACUAUCAUAUUUAUAAUCAAAUUUCUAAGUAAUGCCCAGAAAAUCUUAUUUGUUCUUAUUAGACUAUAGGAAAAAAAAACAUAUAUUAACACUUUCUUAUUAAGUACAACAAAAUGAGCCCUACACAUAUGUUAAUAGCUUGAAACUUACUCUCAGAGAUAUGCUAAAAUAAUUUUGCACAAAUCUGCAAACUACCACCAGAAAUAAGUAUAAGAAAAGAAAAUAUUAAUUUUGGGGAAAUUUUGAUGUCAUCUAAAUAUUCUAUAUUAACUCAAAAGUGAUUACUGUUUAUGAACUGAAAGUUCAGUUCUGAGUUUCCAGUGUUGUUUAUUAAUCAAAUCCCUGUAUCAAAGUUAUGUUUUUCCAUCAGUUCUUCCCUAAAACUACAUGCCUUUUUUCAAAGUGUCUAAUUGGGUUGCUUACUUCAUAGGAGAAGUAACUGUGCAGAAAGGUUUAGAUGUUUAAAAUUAAUAAAAUAGAGAACGUUUUUAAAAAAUGAUUCCAAUACUUAAUUUAAAAAAUUUCGAGAUUUUAGAUUUUAAAGAUGUGUAUAUGACAUUGAUAAUGGUAGUCCUAGAGAAUAACCCUAUAGCUGUCAGUUAUUCCCUGGUGACCUGUGAACUUUGAUAUGGCCAAAAGAUUUCACCAAAUAUUUCAGCAGGCUCAAGGAUAAUAUAAUUCAUGUUCAAGAGCAAAUGCUGAUUUUCAACGGUGUUUUUGAGUUCUUUUCUUUUCUUUUCUUUUAUUUAGAUUUUAUUCCCCUCCCAGUCCACCCC